ACUUCCUUCAGCUUCAGCCACUCCUGGGCCAGGCGCAUGCUUAGCUCUGUGGUAAAGGUCACCAGCUUCUUCUGCAGGGUGCCUGUAUCAUCUGAAUUGGAGGUUUGGCGAGGGUAAGAGACUGAUGUAGGUUCAAGUUUUUCUUUCCUGUCCUCCACUUGAAAUCUGUCUUCCCUUCCAGACUGCCUGCGCUGCUGACUUAAGGCCCCAACACCAAACACAGAAGCAACAGCCUUACACAGAGUGUUCAGCAAGCUCCAACAAUUGUGUAAGAACUGUAUAAUGAUGACUGCACAAGAUACCAAAUCAGAAGAGGUUCCAUUUCCAAGUUCUGAUUCAUAAGAGCUUCCAAAGUAGAGCCGGUACAUAUUGAAUUUUGAUUCAUCUGGAAGGAUCUCGGACAUCUCUAAAGAAACAAGGGACUGAUCUAAGCCACAUUCUCCAUCUCCAGCUGAAUCGUCAGAGCCACUGCUAUGGUUAAGAAAGACCAUUGAAGACAGACUUAGGUCACUAUCAGAGCUGGAACUUCCAUCCUAAAAUACACAAAAG
rnacentral:lncRNA from 10 species